CUAGAAGCACCUGGGUGGGAAAUUACCCAGAACAGCUGGCUGGUGCAUAAGAGGAAGGCAGGGUUUUUUUGUUUGUUUGUUGGAACCUCAAUGUAGGCAUAGACUGCAUAAAUUGGCUAAAUUGGGAUAUUCUCUAUGCUUUUCCUGGAGUUCCCGCAAUGGAAAGAAGAAACUGGAAAUAUGUCUCUUUCAAUUUUCCUUCCUUGGAUGUGGAGACAAGCAGAGAACACAAAACUCGCCAACAUCAAAUGAGCUGCAAAUCAGGAGUUUAUGCCAAGUAGCAAGGAUUCAGCAAGCCCAGGAGCAAAUGUUCACCGCCAGGAUGACAUUUGCGAAAGUAUGGAAAUUAGAGGAAACUCCGAAGAAAGACACUUGGAUGUAUAAAUUAGAAGAAAUACACAGCAUGGACAAACUUAUGUUCCUUCUGAAAGAAACAAGAGGAAAAUAUCAUUGCCAUGAAGUGUCCAGUUUGUGACUACUGUAAAUUCUCCAGUGUUCAACAGACUUUAUGUUUCUUCAGGAAGGAAACUGCUGACAAGAUAAAAGCUCAUUUUUAAAAUUAAAUGGCAAUACAUCCUUUCUUUCUUUCUUUUUUUCAUUACUGGCCACAUCAAGUUGUUGAACACAUUGUCUGAAAUAUGUAGCAAUAUUAGUUAUUUGUAAAUGGAAUGCAUUUACAGACUUGCUUGGCAAUAAGGUGGGAAGAGCCUAGUGUAUGGGCUGCAAGGUUAGUCAUUAUUAGUUAGGGCUUUGAUUUAGAAUACAAUAACAGCCAUCAUUCCUCUGACAAGAACAACGUCAAACUCUGUUCUUACCAGGUAAUCAAAGCAAAGGAGAAAUAUUGCAUCAGUACACCUAUCAUUUUCAUACAGUGUCACCUCAGCUACAAAGAUUGCUGUAAAUUAAAGGUGUGCAUACUGGGAGCCUUUGUAUU
rnacentral:lncRNA from 11 species